rnacentral:rRNA from 1 species
GGCUAACUCUGUGCCAGCAGCCGCGGUAAUACAGAGGGUGCGAGCGUUGUCCGGAAUCACUGGGCGUAAAGGGCGCGUAGGUGGCGCGACAAGUCAGUGGUGAAAGCUCGGCGCUCAACGCCGAGUCGGCCACUGAUACUGUUGGGCUUGAGCACUGUAGAGGCAGAUGGAAUUCCGGGUGUAGCGGUGGAAUGCGUAGAGAUCCGGAAGAACACCGGUGGCGAAGGCGGUCUGCUGGGCAGUAGCUGACACUGAGGCGCGACAGCGUGGGGAGCAAACAGGAUUAGAUACCCUGGUAGUCCACGCCGUAAACGAUGGGCACUAGAUGCUUGGGGGAGCGACCCCCUGAGUGUCGUCGCUAACGCAUUAAGUGCCCCGCCUGGGGAGUACGGCCGCAAGGCUGAAACUCAAAGGAAUUGACGGGGGCCCGCACAAGCGGUGGAGCAUGUGGUUCAAUUCGACGCAACGCGAAGAACCUUACCCAGGCUUGAACAGCGAGUGACCACUCCCGAAAGGGAGCUUCCGCAAGGACACUCGUAGAGGUGCUGCAUGGCUG